rnacentral:misc_RNA from 1 species
UCCGGUUUAUCACCGGCAGUCUCCACAGAGUUCUCGCCAUCACGCGUUAGUAACUGUGGACAAGGGUUGCGCUCGUUGCGGCACUUAAGCCAACACCUCACGGCACGAGCUGACGACAGCCAUGCAGCACCUGUGCUAGCCCUAUAACGACACGGGCUUUCACCCGCUUUAACUAGCAUGUCAAGCCUAGGUAAGGUUCUUCGCGUUGCAUCGAAUUAAGCCACAUGCUCCGCCGCUUGUGCGGGUCCCCGUCAAUUCCUUUGAGUUUUAGCCUUGCGGCCGUACUCCCCAGGCGGAGUGCUUAAUGCGAUAGCUGCGGCACAGAGAGGGUUGAAGACCUCCCCACACCUAGCACUCAACGUUUACGGCUGGGACUAC